rnacentral:lncRNA from 1 species
UUUCAAAUAAACCUCAGAGAUUCCUUGUAUGACUCUCUCAUAUCUCUCUUUUGUGGUAUUUCUGUAUCCUUACCAAGGCAGUGAUGGUAUAUGCCUUCUCUCAAAAUAUGUAGUAUUUGUGGUAUAAGGCAUAGUGACGUUAACUUCUCUCUCACCCUACUCUAAUAAGGCUUUAAUAUCUGGAGCUCAUAGGUGGGAGAUAAAGUAUACAUACUUACAAGACAUUUAUUGCAUAGUCAAACCAUGGAUCCAAAGAAACAAGUCAAUAAGUUAAAUCAAGAUGUGCAUGUGUGGUGAAUAAAUGGUGUAUGGUGAUGAUGGUGAAAGUCUAAUUCUUCUUGUGCUCUUUUGAGGGGUUACAUACCUUCCUUGCUCUUUUGAAACUUUCUGAGGAGAAUGAGAUGCUCUACAUUUUCUUUUUCUUUCCUCUCAGGUGGGUAUCUUGUACCCCUAAUUCUACUGUCGGACACUUGUCCACUACAAGAAUCCUGUUAAUCCGUGAUGAAAAAUUUCUGUCACGGAUCACUAAAAAACCGUCACAAUCCAGCAUCUGUGAUGGUUUUAAAUAUCGUUAUGGAUUGAGCGUCAUAAAUUAACCUUCAUGACGGUUUUUCAAAAACCAUCACAGAUUUACAAAAUCUAUGACAAUUUUAAACCGUCACCGUAGAGCCCAAAACCCAUUUAGCCCAACCCAAACCUAUUUUAUGUGACAAAAAAUAACCGUCACAAAUGAAUUACCAUAUUAUCCCAUAUUAUCUUGGUUGCUUACGUGGAUGCUUGCAU